UUGGCUUAUUACAAAACAACAGGAUGCUGCAGCUUUAUCAAAGUCUACUUAUUUGUCCACUAAAAAUUUAUGGCUAUACAUUUCCAGCCAGAACAUCUGAACACCAAUAUAUGGAAUUCUGACAAAGUUAAAACCAGGAAGAGAUCCUAUGAAGGCUGACAUUGAUUUGUACAUCCUUUUUAUAGAACAAGAAAAAUAAUAAGAACAAGAAUAAGAACAGCAACAACAUUUGCAGCCACUGUCUAGACCACAGGAAACCUGGUCAACAACAUAUGGGAUGUCACCAGAUUCAGACUCAGAAGUUUCCAUAAUGCUGUGGCCAACAGCUAGACACAAAACCUGAGCCUGAGAACUUGCUUAUGGAUUGUCUGUAAUGCCAGGAAAUGGAAUAGAGGACUGGGAAGAGUGAGAGAAGGAAACGAAGCCAGGAGGAGAGUAUGUUACGAGCUGUGAAUAAUUUGGACUUGAUUC
rnacentral:lncRNA from 1 species